GCACGCGUCACUGGGAAGCCGGGGGAAACCUGAGGUUGAGUUCCACAGAAUGUUUCUCUCUCUCUACCUGCAGUAAUUGUGGAGAACUCCGACUUUUAAAUCGAGUGAUAAUCCUUAUCACUGAUAAACCUUAGUCCUCUUCUGGGUGAGUUCACCGUUCCUGAGACUCCUCCAAGAGGAACAAUACACCAGCAUACUUGUAUAUAGUAUUCUAUAUAGAGAAGCUACCCUGAUGGGUAGACAGAGGGGCCCCACCCCACGGCUUCCCUCCAAGAAUUGUUCCCCGUGGUGACGCAAGGGAAAGGGGGUUUUGAACGAGAUGAAACGGCAUCAGGAGACAAAUGAGAAGUGGACUUGGGGGACGGGAGGGUGUCUGAGAAGCAGCCAGAGUUGCCUGUGAAGCCCAUGAACAAGGAGGAAAUUAAAGCUAUCAUCGAUUCAUGUGACACAGGAUGACUGUCCCUUGGUGGCCGAUGCUAAGGAAGGAGCUUAUGAGCAAGUUGAGGACAAGAGGGAAGAAGAGGCUUGCUGACAAGUAAGAAUUGCUUUCCUCUAUCCCAAAUCCUAGAGGAGUCUCCAGAUUCAUGAUUGCCAGAUGCACUUGCACGUCCUGAGAUUAUUAUCCCAGCACAUGAUGAGUGUACAUCCACACAUAAAAUCCUUCCAGCCUUGUGGGGUGAGGGACCAAAGAGACGGCUCCAUUUGACAGUAAUAUUGCAGUGCUAACAAAUGCACUUCCCCUGGGCACAGUGUUAGGACACAAGGUGAGGGGACACCCUGCUGUGACCUCCCUCCCCCAACCCCUAUGGAACCCAACUGAUGGGAGAAAAGGGGCGUUAGGCGUUCCCAGCUCAUUAUGUGCUUGUGCAUGUCUGUCAGUUGUCACAUUCCCUCUCCAGUUAGACAGGUGAAACGUGAGCGAUAUAAAAUACACCCAGGGAAUGUGAGAAGGUCAAAAGUGAAAGUGAAAGUUCACUACAUAGCCUUGCAUACACCUUGGCCCCAGGAAAGGAAAGAUGGACAAAUGUAAUUGGAAACAACAACAUCAGGGGCCGAGGGUGCUGUACUGCCUGCGACUGUGUGAUUUUGAGAAGCAUUCAGUUGUUAGUAAGUGGACAAGGAUACCUCAGAGCAUGCACUUCUUACAACUUUUUAAUGUUUAUUGAUUGGUGUGUGUGCAAGAAUGCCAUCAUGCACUCGUGGAGGACAGAGGACCAUUUGCAGAAGUCACUUCUCGUCCUCUUCAACACAGGUUCGAGGGAUAAGCCCAAAUCUUCCAGCUUGCUGAGCCAUCUUGCCACCUCUCCUUUGAGGAAAACUUAUUCUUAAAUGUAUGUGUGAGGUUGUGAAAUAUUCACUGUGGGAACUGAACUUGGAUCCUCCGCAGAACAAGUGCUCUUAAUUGCUGAGCCUUCUCCCCAGCCCUUUAAAAGAAUGGGUGCAAAGGAAAUGAAAGAAAAGGGGAAGAAAAAUUAAAGAGGUUAUCGCUGUAGUCACUUCGGUUAAAAGAAUGAAGCAGGGGAGAUGGAGAGAUGGCUCAGCAGUUAGGAGCACUGACUGUUCUUCUAGAGGUCCUGAGUUCAAUUCCCAGCAACCACGUGAUGGUUUACAACCAUCUGUCAUGGGAUCUGAUGCCCUCUUCUGGUGUGUCUGAAGACAACUGCAGUGUAUUCAUAUAAAUAAAUUUUAAAAAGAAAUCUUU
rnacentral:lncRNA from 1 species